rnacentral:Y_RNA from 1 species
GGCUAGUCCAAAGGCAGUGAAUUAUUUCGAUUGUUCACAGUCAGGUACAGAUCGAACUCCUUGUUCUACUCUUUCUCCCUUUCUCACUACUGCACUUGAGUAGUCUUAC